GCCGCGGUAGCUCAGGGGUAGAGCACGCCCUUGGUAAGGGCGGGGUCGGAGGUUCGAUUCCUCUCCGCGGCACCA
rnacentral:tRNA from 1 species